UUUGAUCAUGGCUCAGAACGUACGCUGGCGGCACGCCUAACACAUGCAAGUCGAGCGGGGUAGCAAUACCUAGCGGCAGACGGGUGCGUAACAUGUGGGAAUCUGCCUUUUGGUUCGGAACAACAUGGGGAAACCUGUGCUAAUACCGGAUAAGUCCUAACGGAGAAAGUUUUAAUGCCAAAAGAUGAGCCCGCAUUUGAUUAGCUUGUUGGUGAGGUAAAAGCUCACCAAGGCUAUAAUCAAUAGCUGAUUUGAGAGGAUGAUCAGCCACACUGGGACUGAGAUACGGCCCAGACUCCUACGGGAGGCAGCAGUGGGGAAUCUUGCACAAUGGGCGAAAGCCUGAUGCAGCGAUGCCGCGUGCGGGAAGAAGGCCUUAGGGUUGUAAACCGCUUUCAGGAGGGAAGAAAAUGACGGUACCUCCAGAAGAAGGUGCGGCCAACUACGUGCCAGCAGCCGCGGUGACACGUAGGCACCAAGCGUUGUCCGGAUUUAUUGGGCGUAAAGAGCUCGUAGGCGGUUCAGUAAGUCGGGUGUGAAAACUCUGGGCUUAACCCAGAGACGCCACUCGAUACUACUGUGACUAGAGUUCGGUAGGGGAGCGGGGAAUUCCUAGUGUAGCGGUGAAAUGCGCAGAUAUUAGGAGGAACACCGGUGGCGAAGGCGCCGCUCUGGGCCGAUACUGACGCUGAGGAGCGAAAGCGUGGGUAGCAAACAGGAUUAGAUACCCUGGUAGUCCACGCCGUAAACGAUG
rnacentral:rRNA from 1 species